rnacentral:lncRNA from 1 species
GGUCUGUCGAGGGUCACAGCCCUGGGCACGCGCAGGAGCCCAGGCUGAACCCAGCUCUGUGUCCUCACACAAGGGCUGCACCCAGGCCUUGCGUGGGCUGUGGGUGGGGUGGGGUGGGAGGGUGUCACUGUAUAGAUGGGGCAUGGGGGGGGUCAGCAUUGAACAGCUGGGGGAGGGGCCCUCGCGGCUGGGGCUCUUGUCUGAGGAGGAAGUUGGGUGAGGGGACCCCGGCCAUGGUGACCUCACUUCCCUGACAACAGAGCCCAUCAGAAUUUGGAACCCAGGUAACCAGGAACCCACAUUCCAGAGACAGCCCCCGGCCCAGCUCAUUACAUUGCAGAUAGUGAAACCAAGAUGUUCACGUGCUGUGUUCCCAGAUCCGGAGGUUGCCGACGGAAGAAAGCGCGCCCAGCAAAUGCUGUCUCAAGAUGUCCUUUUAGGGCUCCCCACCGCCUCUGGCCGUUUGGUCGGAAAGACCACAAGACCACGGAUGAAAUCGGGAGGAGGCUGGCGGACAGCCGUGACGUUUCCGCGACCUGGGGCGUGACCCCACAGGGGUCCCCAGGAGCAGAUGUUCCACGACCUAAGGAGCUAGAGCCGGCUCCAACUCCAUCAGCAGCUCUCCAGGGAGGGGUGGUGCCUGCAGAGACUUCAGCAGGAGCCCAGGAGCCGGCAGUUGACCCGGCACCUGCCCACGGAGAGCCUGACGCCGACCAGGAAGGGCCUGCUCGAGAACCUGUGCCCGGAGAGCCUGCCCCUGUUCCUGCCACUGUUCCUGCCGGAGCCAGGGCCCCUGUGCCUGCCCCGAACUGUGGCCCUGCUCCUUCCCCAGACCCCGCUCCUGCCCUGGAUCCUGACCCAUCCCUACCCCUGCCAGUGCCCCUGUCCCUGCCCCUGACCCAGAUACUGCCUUGGUUCCUCUAUGUGCCAUUGCUGCAGACCCUGUCCCUCCCCUUGCACCUGCCCCUUCCCCUUCCCCUGCUUGUGCUCCUGUUCUGGCCCCUGACCCAAGUCCUGCCCCUUCCCCUGCCCAUGCCUGUGUCCCUGUUUUCGCCUCUGACCCAAAUCUUGCUCCCACUCAUGUCCCUGCCCCUGCCCGUGCCCCUGCAGCUGCCACUUCCCCAGCACCUGCCUGUGCACCUGUUCUUGCCCCUGCUCCGGAUCCUGACCCAGCCCCUGGCCUGGAUCCUGCCCCUUCCCCUGCCCCUGCCUGUAUUCCUGUUCUUGCCCCUGUCCCAGCUUCUGCCCCUGCAACUGUCCAUUGCCCUGCCCCUCCCUCUGCUCCGGUGCUUGCCUCUGACCCAGCUCCUUCCCCUUUCCCUACCCGUUUCCCUGCCCCUGCAUGUGCACCCAUUCCUGCCCAUGACCCGCCUCCUGCCCCUGCACCUGUCCGUUCCUCUACCUGUGUCCCUGUCCGUGCCCCUGCCAGAGCCAAUGCCCUUUCCCCUGCCUGGGUCCCUGCUCCUGCCCCUGCCCCUGCCAGAGCCGAUGCCCCUUCCCCUGCCUGGGUCCCUGUUCCUGCCCCUGCCCCUGCCAGAGCCGAUGCCCCUUCCCCUGCUUUCCAGGGCCGCGGGCCCUUCCCUUGGCCCUGCCUGUGCUCCUGUACUUGCCCAUGACCCAGCUCCUACUGUGCAUCCGGCCCCUGUCCCUGCUCUUGCAUCUGGCCCUGCCCAUCCUCCUGUUCCUGCAGGGCUCCCAGAACCACAGCCAGAGCCCACAUCCUCGUGGGGAGAGCCGCUUGUACAAUUACCCUUAUUUCCAUCACCCGACCCUGAUGCCCCGCCAGAUUGUUUCAUCCCCUCCCCCUGUGUUCUUUCUCUCUGGUACAUAUUAACUGUUAUAUUAUCUUUCCUUAUCCUCUACGCUGUUUAUUAUUUAUUUUAA